rnacentral:rRNA from 1 species
UACGUAGGGUGCGAGCGUUGUCCGGAAUUAUUGGGCGUAAAGAGCUCGUAGGCGGUCUGUCGCGUCGGAUGUGAAAGCCCGGGGCUUAACUCCGGGUCUGCAUUCGAUACGGGCGGACUAGAGUGUGGUAGGGGAGAUCGGAAUUCCUGGUGUAGCGGUGAAAUGCGCAGAUAUCAGGAGGAACACCGGUGGCGAAGGCGGAUCUCUGGGCCAUUACUGACGCUGAGGAGCGAAAGCGUGGGGAGCGAACAGG